UACAGAGGUCCCAAGCGUUGUUCGGAUUCAUUGGGCGUAAAGGGUGCGUAGGCGGCGCGGUAAGUCGGGUGUGAAAUCUCGGGGCUUAACUCCGAAACUGCAUUCGAUACUGCCGUGCUUGAGGACUGGAGAGGAGACUGGAAUUUACGGUGUAGCAGUGAAAUGCGUAGAUAUCGUGAGGAAGACCAGUGGCGAAGGCGGGUCUCUGGACAGUUCCUGACACUGAGGCACGAAGGCCAGGGGAGCAAACGGG
rnacentral:rRNA from 1 species